rnacentral:sRNA from 1 species
GUUUGAAAGUUUAAAGAUAACCCUUCCACUUAUUGGCUCCAAAAUGACUCUUGAAAUGCUAUUUUCGUCACUCCUCUUGACCAGCAAAUUACCCACUUGGUUUGGGCUCUUCUUGGGCUGGUCAUAAAAUUGGCUGGACUUCAUAUAUAUUACAUUGGGCCAACUUCAGAAUGAACAACAGUAAACGAAAUCAAGAACAGAAACUAAAUACUGAAUAGAUAAAGAGAAAUCCAUAUUACAAAAGGUCUAGAACACAAGGUCUGCGGAAUAAAACUAGAUAAAAACUUGUCUGCAAAAAUGUGAAGUACAUGCUACUUAUAGCCAAAUAUUCCGAAAUCCUAAUACUUAAACCGACGAAGUAUUGGGACGGAUUAAGAACUGUACUUGACCCACGUGGUCGAGUGGGAGGUCGAGUGAAUAGCUGGAGUCUUCUUUUCUUCCUUGUGCUCGAGUGUCUGGUUGAGUGCGGGAUGACGAAGACUCUGAAGCUUGCCAUCGAGUAUGUAGUCGAGUGGUGGUGAUGGAGAUACUCGACUUCAAGGUAGAGUGGCGAGAUCGAGUUGUGGUCUGGCAAUGAAGGUGAAGACACUCGACCUCGGAGUCGAGUGAUGUGAUCGAGUGAUGGUCAGGUGAUGGGAUGAAGACACUCGACCUCGGGGUCGAGUGAUGUGGUGAAGUAGUGAUGUCCUCUACUCGACCAGGGGGUCGAGUGAUCUGUUCUGAUCUAGAAGCUCCUACUCGACCUCGGGGUCGAGUGGUUUGACAUGAUCAGGUCCGCUUCUUCCAGAUAGCUCGUCAACAGCUCCAAAUCACCUGAAAUCAACGCAAAUAUGCAACAUGCAUGCAAAUCUAUCCUAAACAUGUAAAGUGAUGAAAAAUGAUGAGAAAUGGUAUAAAACAGUGAUGAUAUGAUGCUAAAGUGAUGACAAAUGGAUGCUCAAAACAUGCAAAAUACACACUUAUCAACUCCCCAAACUUAGUCUUUGCUUGCCCUCAAACAAAUAAUCAAGAACAAGGUGGAGGUGAGGUUUGAAAGCGGGGACUCAGAGCCAAAGCACCAGAUAAACCAGAUGAAAUCAAUGUCCAAGUUGAAAGUUCUAAG